UUGAUCGAUGUCAUAUUAAAAGGUUGUAAGACUGCACUUUAAUCUACCUGGAACAAUAGAGGUACCUAAUGGUUUUGGAAUUGGAUUACGGUCGAUACACCUGAUGAUACUGUGCGCCAUUCAUAGGGACAAGAAGGGGUGAAACUAAGAAAGGGCAAUAAAUUUAUAACCAUGUUGUGCUUGAUAGACGUUUGAAGGCCCUCCUAAUAUGUUAAGUCACUUUGUACAUUUUGGCUAUACAAACAAACAAGAGUAGGAUUCAUAUAUGAAAUUUCUUUUGAAUGGUUGUGAUUUUGAGACCAAUCGAGAAAGCUGAUUGACUUUCAAUUUUGUGGUA